GGUGAACGCUGGCGGCGUGCCUAAUACAUGCAAGUAGAACGCUGAAGGAGGAGCUUGCUCUUCUGGAUGAGUUGCGAACGGGUGAGUAACGCGUAUGUAACCUGCCUGGUAGCGGGGGAUAACUAUUGGAAACGAUAGCUAAUACCGCAUGACAACAGUUAUUGCAUGAUAACUGUUUAAAAGGGGCAACUGCUCCACUACCAGAUGGACCUGCGUUGUAUUAGGUAGUUGGUGAGGUAACGGCUCACCAAGGCGACGAUACAUAGCCGACCUGAGAGGGUGAUCGGCCACACUGGGACUGAGACACGGCCCAGACUCCUAAGGGAGGCAGCAGUAGGGAAUCUUCGGCAAUGGACGGAAGUCUGACCGAGCAACGCCGCGUGAGUGAAGAAGGUUUUCGGAUCGUAAAGCUCUGUUGUAAGAGAAGAACGAGUGUGAGAGUGGAAAGUUCACACUGUGACGGUAUCUAACCAGAAAGGGACGGCUAACUACGUG
rnacentral:rRNA from 1 species